rnacentral:lncRNA from 1 species
AGAGAGAGAGAGAGAGAGCAUGCCGCUCUGAGCACACCUGUGUUAUUAGUAUGUGAUGUGGUUUAAAACUAAUGAGGAAACAAAACAAAACAAAACUGAAAGUGCCUGAACCUGGUUUAAGCUCAGACAGAUAUCUUUAAAGACUUGAAUGCUGAGUUGAACUUCUGGAGUUUGCUUUUUCCACCUAAAUAUUAUUUCUUAAAGUUUAAGGGGAGAAGUUAAAAGCCAGCAAGGCUGGUAAUUUUUAUAAGGUAUUUUAAAUUAAGACCUUUUUGGUUCACAGCAAUUUCACUGCAGUGGACUGCCCAGUGCCACCAAGGGUUAUAAACUGUUGUCACUCAUGUAAUACAGAGUUUAAGAUAGGAUAUUUAAAAUAUUUUGUAUUAAAAAAUACAAGAAGUACCUCGGAGAACAUUGAAAAAUGUUUAAUUUGAAAAAAAAUAUGUACCUUAUAAAGGCAGCUGUCUUCCUGUAAGAGUUCUGUUGCCAAGGGAUUUCUUAAUGUCUCCAUUCUGUCCUGGGUUGGGGAAAAGUUAGGCUUUGAAAAAUGAUUGUUAAAAGUUUCACUGUUUAAAAGAGAGUAAUCAUUUUUACAUCUUAAUGUAAGACAUUUUACCUUUUCAGAUCACUUAAAUGAGCACUACAUACUGUCAGUGUGAAUGCAGGGCCUUGAAAGAAUUUUUUUUUUUUUGAGCUUGGUUAUUAAAGCAAUCUCCUGUGUUAAAAUGUGUGAAUAGUUUGAUACAUGUGUACCCAUAAUCAAGAGCAUCUCAGCUGGACUUUGUGUUGGCUGCUGUAUAGAAAUGAACAAAUGUCAAGGGAUAGAAAAUUACUUUGGAUAUUUAAAAGAGAAGAAAUAUAUAGUCUAUUUGUUUUGUAACAAGUUUCUGUAAAUAAAAUAAUUUAUACUAUUUAUAAGAAAAGUUGUGUUUUGCUUUAUGAGAAAUUAGUUUGUUGAACAAACAUUGUUACUAAACGGGCAAUAAAACUAGGACUUUUCAAUAAAUAAGGUUGGCUGCAC